rnacentral:rRNA from 1 species
GGUUAAGCGACUAAGCGUACACGGUGGAUGCCCUGGCAGUCAGAGGCGAUGAAGGACGUGCUAAUCUGCGAUAAGCGUCGGUAAGGUGAUAUGAACCGUUAUAACCGGCGAUUUCCGAAUGGGGAAACCCAGUGUGUUUCGACACACUAUCAUUAACUGAAUCCAUAGGUUAAUGAGGCGAACCGGGGGAACUGAAACAUCUAAGUACCCCGAGGAAAAGAAAUCAACCGAGAUUCCCCCAGUAGCGGCGAGCGAACGGGGAGCAGCCCAGAGCCUGAAUCAGUGUGUGUGUUAGUGGAAGCGUCUGGAAAGGCGCGCGAUACAGGGUGACAGCCCCGUACACAAAAAUGCACAUACUGUGAGCUCGAUGAGUAGGGCGGGACACGUGGUAUCCUGUCUGAAUAUGGGGGGGACCAUCCUCCAAGGCUAAAUACUCCUGACUGACCGAUAGUGAACCAGUACCGUGAGGGAAAGGCGAAAAGAACCCCGGCGAGGGGAGUGAAAAAGAACCUGAAACCGUGUACGUACAAGCAGUGGGAGCACAGAGCAAUCUGUGUGACUGCGUACCUUUUGUAUAAUGGGUCAGCGACUUAUAUUCUGUAGCAAGGUUAACCGAAUAGGGGAGCCGAAGGGAAACCGAGUCUUAACUGGGCGUUAAGUUGCAGGGUAUAGACCCGAAACCCGGUGAUCUAGCCAUGGGCAGGUUGAAGGUUGGGUAACACUAACUGGAGGACCGAACCGACUAAUGUUGAAAAAUUAGCGGAUGACUUGUGGCUGGGGGUGAAAGGCCAAUCAAACCGGGAGAUAGCUGGUUCUCCCCGAAAGCUAUUUAGGUAGCGCCUCGUGAAUUCAUCUCCGGGGUAGAGCACUGUUUCGGCAAGGGGGUCAUCCCGACUUACCAACCCGAUGCAAACUGCGAAUACCGGAGAAUGUUAUCACGGGAGACACACGGCGGGUGCUAACGUCCGUCGUGAAGAGGGAAACAACCCAGACCGCCAGCUAAGGUCCCAAAGUCAUGGUUAAGUGGGAAACGAUGUGGGAAGGCCCAGACAGCCAGGAUGUUGGCUUAGAAGCAGCCAUCAUUUAAAGAAAGCGUAAUAGCUCACUGGUCGAGUCGGCCUGCGCGGAAGAUGUAACGGGGCUAAACCAUGCACCGAAGCUGCGGCAGCGACGCUUAUGCGUUGUUGGGUAGGGGAGCGUUCUGUAAGCCUGCGAAGGUGUGCUGUGAGGCAUGCUGGAGGUAUCAGAAGUGCGAAUGCUGACAUAAGUAACGAUAAAGCGGGUGAAAAGCCCGCUCGCCGGAAGACCAAGGGUUCCUGUCCAACGUUAAUCGGGGCAGGGUGAGUCGACCCCUAAGGCGAGGCCGAAAGGCGUAGUCGAUGGGAAACAGGUUAAUAUUCCUGUACUUGGUGUUACUGCGAAGGGGGGACGGAGAAGGCUAUGUUGGCCGGGCGACGGUUGUCCCGGUUUAAGCGUGUAGGCUGGUUUUCCAGGCAAAUCCGGAAAAUCAAGGCUGAGGCGUGAUGACGAGGCACUACGGUGCUGAAGCAACAAAUGCCCUGCUUCCAGGAAAAGCCUCUAAGCAUCAGGUAACAUCAAAUCGUACCCCAAACCGACACAGGUGGUCAGGUAGAGAAUACCAAGGCGCUUGAGAGAACUCGGGUGAAGGAACUAGGCAAAAUGGUGCCGUAACUUCGGGAGAAGGCACGCUGAUAUGUAGGUGAAGUCCCUCGCGGAUGGAGCUGAAAUCAGUCGAAGAUACCAGCUGGCUGCAACUGUUUAUUAAAAACACAGCACUGUGCAAACACGAAAGUGGACGUAUACGGUGUGACGCCUGCCCGGUGCCGGAAGGUUAAUUGAUGGGGUUAGCGCAAGCGAAGCUCUUGAUCGAAGCCCCGGUAAACGGCGGCCGUAACUAUAACGGUCCUAAGGUAGCGAAAUUCCUUGUCGGGUAAGUUCCGACCUGCACGAAUGGCGUAAUGAUGGCCAGGCUGUCUCCACCCGAGACUCAGUGAAAUUGAACUCGCUGUGAAGAUGCAGUGUACCCGCGGCAAGACGGAAAGACCCCGUGAACCUUUACUAUAGCUUGACACUGAACAUUGAGCCUUGAUGUGUAGGAUAGGUGGGAGGCUUUGAAGUGUGGACGCCAGUCUGCAUGGAGCCGACCUUGAAAUACCACCCUUUAAUGUUUGAUGUUCUAACGUUGACCCGUGAUCCGGGUUGCGGACAGUGUCUGGUGGGUAGUUUGACUGGGGCGGUCUCCUCCUAAAGAGUAACGGAGGAGCACGAAGGUUGGCUAAUCCUGGUCGGACAUCAGGAGGUUAGUGCAAUGGCAUAAGCCAGCUUGACUGCGAGCGUGACGGCGCGAGCAGGUGCGAAAGCAGGUCAUAGUGAUCCGGUGGUUCUGAAUGGAAGGGCCAUCGCUCAACGGAUAAAAGGUACUCCGGGGAUAACAGGCUGAUACCGCCCAAGAGUUCAUAUCGACGGCGGUGUUUGGCACCUCGAUGUCGGCUCAUCACAUCCUGGGGCUGAAGUAGGUCCCAAGGGUAUGGCUGUUCGCCAUUUAAAGUGGUACGCGAGCUGGGUUUAGAACGUCGUGAGACAGUUCGGUCCCUAUCUGCCGUGGGCGCUGGAGAAUUGAGGGGGGCUGCUCCUAGUACGAGAGGACCGGAGUGGACGCAUCACUGGUGUUCGGGUUGUCAUGCCAAUGGCACUGCCCGGUAGCUAAAUGCGGAAGAGAUAAGUGCUGAAAGCAUCUAAGCACGAAACUUGCCCCGAGAUGAGUUCUCCCUGACUCCUUGAGAGUCCUGAAGGAACGUUGAAGACGACGACGUUGAUAGGCCGGGUGUGUAAGCGCAGCGAUGCGUUGAGCUAACCGGUACUAAUGAACCGUGAGGCUUAACCUU